UACGUAGGGCGCGAGCGUUGUCCGGAAUUAUUGGGCGUAAAGAGCUCGUAGGCGGCCUGUUGCGUCCGCUGUGAAAUCCCAGGGCUCAACCCUGGAACUGCCUCUCAUACUGGGUAUCUCGAGUUCGAGAGAGGUGGGUGGAAUUGCGAGUGUAGAGGUGAAAUUCGUAGAUAUCGGAAGGAACACCUGUGGCGAAAGCGGCUCACUGGACCAUUACUGACGCUGAGGCACGAAAGCUAGGGGAGCAAACAGG
rnacentral:rRNA from 1 species